GGAGGGUAUAGCUCAGUGGUAGAGCACAUGUUUAGCAUGCAUGAGGUCCUGGGUUCAAUCCCCAGUACCUCCA
rnacentral:tRNA from 1 species